rnacentral:misc_RNA from 1 species
UAAAUCAGUUUUAAUUGUGUUGAACCUGAUUGGCUUCUGAAUCGACAAAUGCCAUGAUUUAACUAAGAUGACGUCACUUGCAGGUAUCCAAUUUAUCGAUAACUUAUAAUUCCACUCAACAAAAACAAAACUUUCAUAAUUUCGAACAAGAGCAUUUAGAAAGCACUAAAAUGGGUCGUCAUAUAACUACUAUUGUAACUCAUAAUUUCGAUUAGAUCGAAUAAAAAUAUAAUCAGAAUUUGUUGUAAUAAUUUCGAAGAUUCUGUUAAACUUGGAUUCCUGAUAAAGAAUUGAUAGUAUGUCAGAACUAGAUUUCGAAGUGGCUGAAUUGCCUAUUCCUGGUCCAGAGAUUAUUGAUCUGACUAUCGAGAGCUCGGAAGAAAACGAAGUUGCCAAAAUAGGUUCUGAUCUAGAUCAAUCAAAUAAAACCGUCAGUGACUUGGAAGAAGGUGAGAUUAAGGAGUCUAAUAAAAGCUUGUGCCGCUAUUUCCAACGGGGUAGAUGCUGGCUAGGAGAAAAUUGUUCCUUUUCCCACGUUGGAAAUAAUUCUUAUAAAAUGUUUGAUACUCAAACUCAGCCGGCGAUAGUUUAUCAACCCAUGGAACCGGGUCAACCUAUAGAAGACCUUCCUGAUGCUUGGGAUAAAGGUUUAAGAGAAGCAAAAAAAUUGCUGCUGAAUGCGAAACUUAAAAAAGAAACUGAUCUUGACUUCGAGGAGAAGCAGUUAUACCAAGGUUUAGAUGAAAUUAUCAGAGAUAAUGAAGAUUUUUAUCGGCGAAAGAUGGAUUUCGCCGAUAGGCAUAGGAAACAAAAAGAAACAUGCAUUGAUUGUUUGCGACUUAAGGAUUCAGAACGUGGACGGAAGACUGUAAAAACUGCCUCUAAAGAUCUGCCUAGCUCUCAAAAACCUAAAAAUGUGAAAUCGAGGACUAAAUAUAGAUCAGAUUCGUGUUCACCAGUUCCAUCCUGUCGACGUCACUCUUCAUCGUCAUCUUCAUUGUGUGGCAGGUGCGAAGCUUCCUGUCAUGAGUUGAAGAAUGAUGUUGGUAAACCAAAGUCAAAAUUAGAGAGAGUGUUUUUAAGAACUGUCGAUGCACCAGAAGCACCAAGAAAAGAAACAACUCAACGCCGCUGUCAUUCAUCUUAUCCCCGUAGGCGCAGCUCAUUGAGACAUUCUUUUUCAAGGCACUUCCUAUACCGAUCACAUUCAAAAUCUCCAUCGAAGAAUUACUCGAAAAAGUAUCCUAAAAAAACCGUGCAACAGAAGCAAACUCGUGAACAGUCUACUUCACCAAUGUCUGAUAGACGCAAGAAAUAUGGUUCCUCCCAUUCCAAAAAAGAACGUAGUUCUACUAUUUCUAAAUUUUUAUCCCAAAUUAAUGAUUUGGCAAGUUGUAGUAGCGAUAUGACUGUUUCAUCCAUUAGAUGCACUUCUGUUUCAACUUCUCUCCUAAGCAAUGAAGAAAAAGAAUCUACUAGACGCUCUAUAUUGCCUGUGGUAGUUUCCGGAAAAAAGUCAAAAGGCGUGGAACACACAACUUAUGAUAUUGACAAGUGGUUAGAUAGUGUUCCUAAAACAACGAAAGAAAGUAAGCGUGAGUCUGAAAUAUCAACGAAAUGUUUGGAAAAACCUGAUAGGGAAAAAGAGAAAAGCUUCAAGACUGUUAAAAAUGGCAAAACUCUCCUUAAGUCUGAUCGGAAAUUAUCAUCGGAUAGUAGCAUUACCGAUGAAGAACUUUCAGCUGGUGAACUGGAACUUUUAAGGUACAUUCCAAAUAAGAAUCAUAAGAAACUCAAGCAAGAUAAAAAGAAAGCUGAAAAUAAUGUUAAAUUAGCUCCAAAGACAUCUGUCAAAAAUCUAUCCACAAAUAACAAUCGUGGAACGAAUGAAGAAAACCACUCCUCAAAAACGAAUGCAGAAUAUCCUCCACCAAAAAUUAUUUAUGAUUAUGGGUCGGAUACAGAUAGUCUUAUCUCGAAACUUAUACAUGAUUAUGGAUCAGACAGACUAAGUUCUUCCCAGAAGAGUGUUGAAUCAAAUAAAGAUAGUCCUAACGCGAUAAGUUCUUCCCAGAAGAGUGUUGAAUCAAAUAAAGAUAGUCCUAACCCGAUAAGUUCUUCCCAGAAGAGUGUUGAAUCAAAUAGAGAUAGUCCUAUCCCAAUAAGUUCUCCCCAGAAAAGUGUCGAAUCAAAUAGAGAUAGUCCUGUUCCAAAAACGUCAGUAGAGCAUUCUUCUCCGAAAAAUGAUCUUUGUCUUGAAACACUUGAAGAAAAUAAUUUUUCAAAGGAAUCCAAUAAUGUAGAACAAGUAAACAAUACUUUUUCAAAGAAAUUGGACGACGCAGCUGAAGAAAAUUGCUCUUCAACGACAAAAGUUGUCGACACAGAGAAGAAAAUUCCCGAACUAUUUGACAGGAAUAAAAUGGAACAAAACAAUAACUCUCCUUCGAAUGUAUCGGGGAAAAGGCUAUCAUCUGAAAGCUCAACCGAACUCUCAGACGAUGAGCUUGAGUUAUUGAAAUAUGUCUCUAAUGUGUCUACCAAGAUCCGAAAGAGAACGAAAAAAAAUCCAUCUCAAUUGAGUGCUAAGAAAACUAAGCAAAAAUCAAAAUCCAAGAGGGAUGUCAGCGAAAGUCCUAAACGCAAAUCUGCAGUGCAGGAGAAAGAGGAAACUACUGAAAUAUCUAGAAGAGAACGGUUAAUGCAGCAGCUUGAAGCUGUGGAAUUAGCGAUUGCCAAUAAGAAACGACAGGCUAAAUUAGAAGCGAAACUUAGAAAGAAAAAAAAGAAAUGAUUUGAUGUGAAUGUAACUAAUUUUUCCUAUUAGCUAUAAUUAGAGUCUAUACUUUGUUGACUUAAAAUUUUCCAAAUUGCUUUCCCCCCCCCAAAAAAAAAACCUCGACUGAAAAAAAAUGCAGAAAGAAAGUCAUCAAAACCCAGUUUUGAGUAUUAUUUUGAUAGCAAAUGUAUAUUUUGAUAGCAAAUAUGCCUAUUUAUGUAUAUACAGGAAGGCCAACUGCUACAGAUUUUGUUUCGACUUCACAAAGCUUAUGAAAACUACAAAAUCUGAAUACUCAUUUGUUUAAAACAGAUUUUUGAAUACAUGUUUUCUCAAUUGUGAAAGACCCUUUAUUAAUU